rnacentral:tRNA from 1 species
GAGAAAUACUCAAGUGGCUGAAGAGGCGCCCCUGCUAAGGGUGUAGGUCGCUUACGCGGCGCGAGGGUUCAAAUCCGGAAUUACUUAUCA